CUCCCCUCCACCGCCGGUCUACAAAUAUAAGUCGCCACCACCUCCUGUGUACCACGCCCCGGCUCCUGUUUACAAGUACAAGUCACCUCCUCCCCCCGUCUACCACUACAGCUCGCCACCACCGCCGGUUUACAAGUACAAGUCACCACCACCACCUGUGUACCACGCCCCGGCACCAGUUUACAAGUACAACUCGCCACCACCCCCAGUUUACAAGUACAGCUCGCCACCACCACCUGUUUACAAAUACAAGUCGCCACCACCACCUGUGUACCACACCCCGGCUCCUGUUUACAAGUACGAGUCGCCUCCUCCGCCGGUGUACAAGUACAGCUCCCCGCCGCCACCGGUCUACAAAUAUAAGUCGCCACCACCACCUGUGUACCACGUCCCAGCGCCGGUUUACAAGUACGAAUCUCCUCCGCCACCGGUGUACAAGUACAGCUCUCCGCCACCACCAGUCUACAAGUAUAAGUCGCCACCACCACCUGUGUACCACGCCCCUGCUCCAGUCUACAAGUACAAAUCUCCUCCGCCACCGGUGUACAAGUACAGCUCGCCACCACCACCGGUUUACAAAUACAAGUCGCCUCCUCCACCUGUUUACCACGCCCCGGCUCCAGUCUACAAGUACAAAUCCCCGCCACCACCGGUGUAUCACUACAGCUCCCCGCCACCACCUGUUUACAAGUAUAAGUCUCCACCGCCGCCUGUUUACCACGCUCCCGCCCCAGUCUACAAGUAUAAGUCACCGCCGCCACCUGUUUACCACUACAGCUCCCCACCACCCCCGGUUUACAAGUACAAAUCUCCUCCUCCCCCUGUCUACCACGCUCCAGCACCGGUUUACAAGUAUAAGUCUCCGCCGCCACCGGUCUAUCACUACAGCUCCCCGCCAC
rnacentral:lncRNA from 1 species